CCCCAGUGUAACUGUUCUUCUGUGGGAGCGGCACUAAUGUACUCACGGCAUCUUUACGCCAGCGAGCCGAGCGCACGGAGGUGACAUUCACUCACACGUUUACACAAAUGGAAACUUGGCAUUCAUGAGUCACUGAUCUUAAUGUGGGAUUAAGAACAAAAACCUAUGCUUCUUGACACCUACCGUCAGGAUUUGCCUGGAUACAGCUGGAACAAGAAUCUGACCCUAAGGACUGUGCUGUGGAAGAUUUGCAGCUCU